rnacentral:rRNA from 1 species
UACGGAGGGUGCGAAGCGUUGUCCGGAUUUAUUGGGUUUAAGGGUGCGUAGGUGGCCCGUUAAGUCCGGGGUGAAAGCCCACUGCUCAACCAGUGGAACUGCCCUGGAUACUGGACGGGCUUGAGUCCAGACGAGGUUGGCGGAAUGGAUGGUGUAGCGGUGAAAUGCAUAGAUACCAUCCAGAACCCCGAUUGCGUAGGCAGCUGACUAGGCUGGUACUGGACACUGAGGCCACGAAAGCGUGGGGAGCGAACAGG